rnacentral:rRNA from 1 species
AUUGAACGCUGGCGGCAUGCUUUACACAUGCAAGUCGAACGGUAACAGGCCGCAAGGUGCUGACGAGUGGCGAACGGGUGAGUAAUGCAUCGGAACGUGCCCAGUCGUGGGGGAUAACGCAGCGAAAGCUGUGCUAAUACCGCAUACGAUCUAUGGAUGAAAGCGGGGGACCGUAAGGCCUCGCGCGAUUGGAGCGGCCGAUGUCAGAUUAGGUAGUUGGUGGGGUAAAGGCUCACCAAGCCAACGAUCUGUAGCUGGUCUGAGAGGACGACCAGACACACUGGGACGGAGACACGGCCCAGACUCCUACGGGAGGCAGAAGUGGGGAAUUUUGGACAAUGGGCGCAAGCCUGAUCCAGCAAUGCCGCGUGCAGGAAGAAGGCCUUCGGGUUGUAAACUGCUUUUGUACGGAACGAAAAGGUUUGGGUUAAUACCCUGGGCCGAUGACGGUACCGUAAGAAUAAGCACCGGCUAACUACGUGCCAGCCGCCGCCGUAACAC